rfam:Listeria monocytogenes EGD-e, complete genome
UUUUUUUGAAACUAACAUCAUUUUCGUCUUAGUAAAGAUAAACUUACCAGUGUAAGUAUAGUCUUCUUUUGUGCGAAUUAGUGGCUCAUAAACUAAUUCCUCUACUCCAAAAGAUUCUAUCGUUUGCACGCCGUCCACAUUAAAAGUGUUCCCGCUUAAGAAA